GACGAACGCUGGCGGCGUGCUUAACACAUGCAAGUCGAACGGAAAGGCCCUGCUUUUGUGGGGUGCUCGAGUGGCGAACGGGUGAGUAACACGUGAGUAACCUGCCCUUGACUUUGGGAUAACUUCAGGAAACUGGGGCUAAUACCGGAUAGGAGCUCCUGCUGCAUGGUGGGGGUUGGAAAGUUUCGGCGGUUGGGGAUGGACCCGCGGCUUAUCAGCUUGUUGGUGGGGUAGUGGCUUACCAAGGCUUUGACGGGUAGCCGGCCUGAGAGGGUGACCGGCCACAUUGGGACUGAGAUACGGCCCAGACUCCUACGGGAGGCAGCAGUGAGGAAUAUUGCACAAUGGGCGGAAGCCUGAUGCAGCAACGCCGCGUGCGGGAUGACGGCCUUCGGGUUGUAAACCGCUUUCGCCUGUGACGAAGCGUGAGUGACGGUAAUGGGUAAAGAAGCACCGGCUAACUACGUG
rnacentral:rRNA from 1 species